GACCACGUAGCUCAGUUGGCAGAGCAUUGGGCUAGUAUUCCAAAGGUCGUAGGUUCGAUUCCCGCCGAGGGCA